AUGCAAGGGAUGGCGUUAGCUAUUCAACAUACAACGCUACCGGUGGUAGUUCAAUCGGACUCGUCUGAAGCUUUGUCAGUCCUAUCUAGCAAGAGUCUAAUGAAGUCAGCUUAUGGUCAAUUAAUUCUUGAGAUAAAGGAGUUAAUGAGUAAUAGAGAGUUUGUACCACAGAAAAUUCACCGUAGUCAGAAUAAUGUUGCAGAUCGGUUGGCCAAUUAUAGCCGCUCCGAGAGGGCCACGGCUGUGUGGUUACAUUCGGUUCCACCUUGUAUCGAGGACUUAUGGCCUCUUGAUUGUAACACUGUGAACUUGCAAUAA
rnacentral:rRNA from 1 species